rnacentral:tRNA from 1 species
ACUCACUUGGUGAAAUUAGGUGAAACACGAUGAAUUUAAAAUUCAUUCCUAUUCUUGUAAUUAUAAGGUUAUUGGUUCAAGUCCAAUAGUGAGUA